CCGCGUGCGGGACGAAGGCCCUAGGGUCGUAAACCGCUUUCAGUAGGGACGAAAAUGACGGUACCUGCAGAAGAAGCUCCGGCCAACUACGUGCCAGCAGCCGCGGUGAUACGUAGGGAGCAAGCGUUGUCCGGAAUUACUGGGCGUAAAGGGCUCGUAGGUGGUUGAGUAAGUCAGAUGUGAAAUCUCAGGGCCCAACCCUGAGCCUGCAUUUGAUACUGCUCUGACUAGAGUCCGGUAGGGGAGUGCGGAACUCCUGGUGUAGCGGUGAAAUGCGCAGAUAUCAGGAAGAACACCGACAGCGAAGGCAGCACUCUGGGCCGGUACUGACACUGAGGAGCGAAAGCAUGGGUAGCAAACAGGAUUAGAUACCCUGGUAGUCCAUGCCGUAAACGUUGGGCACUAGGUGUGGGGAGAACUCAACUCUCUCCGCGCCGUAGCUAACGCAUUAAGUGCCCCGCCUGGGGAGUACGGCCGCAAGGCUAAAACUCAAAGGAAUUGACGG
rnacentral:rRNA from 1 species